CCUACGGGCGGCAGCAGUGAGGAAUAUUGGUCAAUGGGCGCGAGCCUGAACCAGCCAAGCAGCGUGAAGGAUGACUGCUCUACGGGUUGUAAACUUCUUUUAUAAAGGAAUAAAGUGAGGCACUUGUGCCUUUUUGUAUGUACUUUAUGAAUAAGGAUCGGCUAACUCCGUUCCAGCAGCCGCGGUAAUACGGGGGAUCAGAGCGUUAUCGGGAUUUAUUGGGUUUAAAGGGAGCGUAGGUGGGCUGUUAAGUCAGCGGUAAAAGCCCGGGGCUCAACCCCGGCGAGCCGUUGAAACUGGCUGUCUUGAGAUGUCGAGAGGUAUGCGGAAUGCGGAGUGUAGCGGUGAAAUGCGUAGAUAUAGCGCAGAACUCCGGUUGCGAAGGCAGCAUACCGGCGGCGAUCUGACGCUGAGGCACGAAAGCGUGGGUAUCGAACAGGAUUAGAUACCCUAGUAGUC
rnacentral:rRNA from 1 species